UAUUAUUUUUCUUCCUUCCUGUUUUUUCUGGAUUGCUUGUACCUCUUCAUAUACAGAGUUUCUUCCUUGGCAAAAAAAGCUACACAUUUUCCAUGCUUUUUUCUGCUUUUCUGAACUGGAACAUGUUGCUGUGCUGCUAGGAGCACCUAGCUUUGCAGGAUCUGCAAAAGACAAGGUAUCCAUGCAUUCCUUUUGGAGGUCUAUUUCUGACAGUCCCUAAAAAAACAAUUCAGAACUCUCCUAAAUUAUAACACAGCAGGUUUGUACCUACUUUCAGUCAACAAGGCCUUGUUCUGCCUCAGGGAUUUUACUUGUAUCUUAUGAUAUAGUGGAGUAGAGGAGAAGCAGGCAAUAGUCAUUUUCAUCCCUAACUAUCUUUCAUUCAAAUGGAAGUUGUGAAGUGAUGGGUUGAAAGAAAGAGAUGUGAAUACGGUACUGCUAAAGGAAACACCCUGCACUGAGAAGCUGUGAUUACAAGUUCCCUGAGUUCCACCUCUGUUUCCCAUUUUUCAAAUGCUUUGGGAUUUGAUAUGGGGUCAAAAGCCACUGUCUUUUGAAUUGUGGCCUUUCUCUUUUCACAAAGCUAUGGUAUAUUGCAGGAAGUUUGGAUCCAGUUGUGUCUCCUGCCUUUUCAGGCUCUGACAGUAAUUAAGAGUAUUACUUUUUGUAUUGUUUUAGUCAUCCACUGUCUCCAUAGUUGAUGAUAAAGCAAAUGGCAGGAAACAGGAACUUAAUGAGAUGAAACAAAGGGAGUACAGGACUGGCCUAAACUGAAGAACUGUUUAAACUGAGCAAACAAACAAAAAAUCCUCAAUACUAUAUUGAAACAAGCAAGCCUGUGUUUCAAGAUCCUUUUUUUUAUUUUAACUUCAUAGUUCUGUUGGUUUAUUUAGUUCUAGUGCUGGAAACAGCUGAGAAGAUAACUCUUUUACAUGAAAUUUUAAAUGCAGCAUGGUAAUUAUUUGUCAUUAACAGGGUGUAUCUUUUAGUUUCUUGAGGGUCUUUUUAGAAAUAAUUGGAAUGAUACAGCAAUUUAAGAAACAUGUUAAUAUUUUUCUUGGUUAAGCUUUAUAAACAAAUGUUUUCAUAGAUAGUGACUGUUGGUUGGCUACACCAUUGCCAGGUCUGGGUCUAAAACAUAAAGUUAGAGGGGUUGCAGAAAGAAUGGAUACUACAUUGAGAUAUUGAAGUUAACAUUGUUUUUGCACAAAUCUUAAAUUAGUGGGAUUUUAUUGCUUAAAAAGAAAUUAGUUUCUGAAGGUACUCAACUGAUAACAACAGAUCAGCCUAACUGUGCUCCUCAAGACUCAGUUCUGCAGCCCACAGCUUAGAGUCAAGAGUGGGAAACCGGGAGCAAUAAGGGAGCAAAAACAUUCUCCUUACUUUUUGUAUCUGGGUCAUCUUAAUUGAUCCCAGCAGACUUAACCAUUGCUGGGCUACCUCAAUCAACCACCUACAUCGUCACCUGGAGGAACUUGCCUCUUUUCUAGCAGCUGAGGCAAUACCUUUGGGGAAGAAAAGGUUUCCUCUGUUACUCCAGGGAAGAUUUUUAACCUCUUCAUUGCCAUAUACAUUGCCAGGGCAGUCACCCUCAGGAAAAUAUGACAAACCAAGACUUGUAUCUCCCAUACUACCAUAUAUUCUUUUAUAGUCCUAGAAAGGAAGUUGUGCACUCUACAGAUGGAAUAGAUACUUUCAAUAGCUAUAUAUUUAAUUGGUUUUCUUACUACUUCGUGCAUUUAGCUGAGUUCUUAAUGUCUUUCUGAAAAAUUUGGCCAGCAAGAGCAUUAACUACAAUGCCUUUAAAAUACACUCAAUUUUAAGCUGGUCUAAACCAUGCUAAACAGAUAAAAAUCACUCUUGACUUGAAUAGUAAAUGUUGAGGUUAGAAAAGUGCUUUCAUGGUUACUCUACAGCUUAUUAUGUAUUUCUAGGUAGAAUAGAAUACUGCAAAAAAUCCUAAAGCUGUUUAUUAAAUAUGGCAUUUUUUUUUCAACACUUUAUCUGAAUUUCUAAAAUGAGGAAGCAUUAAAAUCUCCUUUUAGAAGGAUCACUGCUGUACGAUUUUUACUUUCAGGUCUGGAUGUGCUUUUAAUGGUCUCUUACAAGUCAUGUAUUGUCCACUUCCCACUAUAACCAGUGCUACUCUUUUUUAAAAUUUUGUUUUUAUAUCAAUGUUUCAGGCGUUUCCUGUUCUCCAGAACACACCUCUGCGGCCUGUACAGUUCGGGCUGGGGGGAGGGGGAUUGCCAGCAAUACAGGUUUAAUGCGUACAUAUACAAUGUUAAGGAUGUGCAUUCUUCUGCUUCCCACAGCUGCACAGCUCACAUGUGAGUCAUUUACAGUCACCUAGUUAAGAUGAAAAAAAUCUUAAUAUUGUUCUUAUCAGUUAAACUGAUGCUAAGAACAGGCUUUGGGAUUUCUCAGAGGGAGGUACCCAUGUUUGUGUUGUUUCUGCCUCCAGAUAAGCUUCAGCAUUUUUGUGUAGAUAAGCUUUAGCUUCUUCGUGUUUUUGAAGUCCAUGUAGUAUAGUGAGCUUGGUUUUAUACUACUGCAGUUCAGGCAGCAAUCCUGUCGAAAGGAUGAAAGGCAGAAACAAUCACAGCUCUUGAGUCAUCAUAGCUUUUAAGCGGGAUGUAGCCAGCUUCUUGCUUCACCAGGAUGACAUUUAGAGUCAGUAAAAGAUUUGAGGAGAAAUGCACAUUGGAAGCCUAUCCCAAGCACAGAAAGCACUGUGAAGCUCACUGCCUGCCAUACUUACUGUAUGAGUGGUUACUGAAAAUGAAAACUGAAACAAUUUCUUGUCUGAUGCAUUGACCCCCUGAAAAACAGUGAAUUCUGACUGCAUUAGAAAGUUGAGAACUGAUUGCAUAUGACAAAUCUCUUAAAAGUAAAAUAAACAGUGGAAUACAAUUGGAGAUUAGGUGGAGAAUUCUAAAGUAAGUGAAAUGAAGGCUUGUAGCUGCUAAGACUUAACAAUUCAACCUCAUUUCCCUGAAAAGAAAAUAAUGGUAAAAAAAUUAUAUUGGUAGCAAAAAUAAAGUAGUGAGAAAUGAUUACCUGUGGAAACCAUACAUUUAAGACAUGAUCUUAAGAAAGGAAAUAGAAGGUUCACUUGAGACUCACUGUUCAGUAGCAGACCUGUGUUAUUACAUCAAGCAACUGAUACAGUUGGUUUAGUUUGUUUAUGUCAUAACAAAUUAUGGUUGUAAAGUGGAUUUAGAGGGAGCACUAUAGAUGGUAGUCUGUUCUAGCAAACGUCAUCAGAACCUGCUUAUGGUUAUUAAAUCUCUAUAGCUCAAUGAGAAAAAAAGAGGUUAAUUCAAAGCCUUUAAGGAAGCAUGUUCAUGAUAACUGCACCCACCAUAGAACAACAAGCUCUUCUUGCUUGCUUGUUCUCUUCCAGUGUCCACCAAUGGUAUAGUUCCUUGAAGCUGUUCAUACAAGUCAUAUCCACACUAACAUUGGGAAUAGGCGCCAGCCUGCAAAUAGCAUACAAAGACUGCUUGCCCUACUUCACUUGUAAGCAGUUCACUUAGAAAGAUUCUAUGUUUUAUUCCAGAUUUAACUUUCUAAAGGAUUUUAAAUUUCUCCUUCUUUUAAACAUGUUUAAAAUAUCCUGUCUAGAAAUUAUGUGGUACUGCUGAUAUUUCGUUCUACUGAGCUAUUGUUUUCAUUUUGACUUGUCUUUUCCCUUUCUUUUGAAAUAAGACUUAGACUAAAUACCAAAAUUCGUUCACUGCAUAUAAUGGCUGAGUGAACUAAAAUAUAAAAACCUUGAUUUAAGUAUUUUUGUAUUCAAAGAUCAUAGGCAAGUGUUCAUUUGAAGGUUCAGUGGCAUUUUGAAAUGAGAACAUCAUAUAUAAAGAUGUCAGAGAUGGAGCCUCCCACAGUGAGGUUGAAAGCAAAAGAAGAACAGAAUGAAUAGAAGAGUUUCUAGGUUCCAAGGAAUUUUAACAUCUCAUUACUUUAGAUUACUACACAUAUAAUUUUCAAAUAUUUUGUAUUAUAGACUUUGAAUGUAUUGGUUAAAAUUACUUCAUGCCUGACAUCAAUUUAGUCUUAUUCAUUAUCUCCCUUAAAUAAAACCUUAAAAAUAGCUGGUUUCAGUAAGUGAGCAAUUUUCUGAUAGAUGUAAAUUCCUCAACAUCUCCAGAGAGAUCUUGCUGUAAAUGAAAACAGAAAGACUAGGAGAUAGCCAUCCCUCAGCCUUCCUUCAGCAAUCUCAAUAUACACAUUUAAGUUACUUUAUCAAAUGACAAUGAUUAUGAUAUUAUUAUUUGGUAUAGUCAGUGUUUUGAUUGGUUUUCCUAUAUCUUUGGUAAUCUAAUACGCUGUGUGAUACAACUGUGGUCACCUGAAGUGGUUCUGGAUUUUGAGCACAGAUGGACAGAUCUCCGUAUUUGCUCUAGCUGAGCCACUCCAGUAAUGAAAUUGAGGUCACCAGUGACAUCGUCAGUCACAUCUCUUCUUAAAUCUGUGCCAGUCUCCAUCCCUUACUUCUAUGGCACACCUCUAAUCUGGCAGUAAACAAAUGAGAUGUCAAGAGAAUAUCUUACGUGUUUUCUUUCUUAUCUCAAGUUUUUAAAACAUCACAUUAGAAUAUAUACCACAGGCUUUGUAGUCUCCUCAGUGUUUCAAGAUGAAAAUAUUUGUGUUCUUUAAAAACAAGAAUGUAGCUUCCAAGUCUUCUAGAAUUCUAAAUGAAGGAAAUGUGUUCCAAAAUCUAAAAUCAUAGAGCCAGUUUUCAUAUAGUCACAUAUCCACAACACCUAUUGAAAAUACCAGAUGUAUAAACAUAUGUAUUUAUUUAAGACAAACACAUCUGUCAUUUACUAUGAAACACUUUUUGCAUUUGAAAGAGCUUAUAAAAUAAUUAAUUGAACUCACAUCUGCAUCCCUUCUGACAUUGGAAUUAAAUAUUCCAGUUGUUCUUAUUUAGGGUUGUUUCCUAUUGCUUGAAAGAAACACUGUUUUCUGGAUACACCGAAACACCACUCCAUGUCCAUUGCAAGGGAUGGACUGAUGCUGAAUGGAAGAGCAAAAAGGAGGAAGAAGGAAGGACACCAUAGAGGACAGAACUACCUUCCUCUUUCUUUCAUGUCUGCUGGGAAGGAAUGAGAUGAUAUCCUGGGAAAGAUAUCAGACAGAUUUUACUUCUGUUAACAUGAUGAAGCACUACAAGAAGCUCCUUAGGAAUUAUUUACGUCAUCUUGUCCCAAGGAGACUUUAAGAACAGGUUCAAUAGUGUCUGUCUUAGUGAGUAAUAGAGGUGCAAUUCUCCCACAGUGCAGAUGGCCGGAUAGGGAGGAGGUUGUUAGAAAUAAUGGUCCUUUUGACACAGUGAGAAAUUUGGUGUGUGGUGAUAGAUGAGACAUUUUGAGAGUUGAUAUUAAUCAAUCAGAGCACAAAUAUUUGGGAAGCCUUGCUCUGGAAGGUCCCUUCAACUCACCAUUUUUGCCAUGUAUUGAUACCUGCCUGGGCUGCAUGACAGCCCACCAACAUGCCAGGCCUGAGCAUGCUCAUCAGUGAAUGCAGAGAUGGGAGAGAUAGGAAUGUGAAGAAAAUAGCUGAGGGAAGAGAAGGAAUGAACUGUUUAAAAAGAAAUUCACUGAAACAGUCUGAUAGCAAAGGGAAAAAAAAAAUCAGAUGCAAAGGAAAGAGAGAAAUACAAUCUGAAAAAGUGAGAGUGGACUGAAAUUGCUUGUGAGCAUUUAAGUCUCAGAGUGUCCCACGAAAAGCCAUGCCUUGGCACCUGAGAGGUUAGUGUCUCACAGCAGCACCUACCUAAGGUAAGAAUGCAACCUCUCCAAAGCAGUAAUGUUACAAAAGCUUCUUCCAUCUUGUACAGCACUUUAUUUCUCAUCCUCUUUACCAGCUUCUGAGCAGUUUUGCUUGCUUAUUAUAGGCAGAGUUGCCAGUUCUUACAAUUUAAUCAUUAACUUUGAGGUACUUGGUAUUUUAUUUAAAGCCUCAGCUCCUGUAAAAGCGAAAGGAUUUUUUUUUUAAUUAGAACAAAACUUUCUGGUUCUCAUGAUUGUGUAGGAAAUCUUGAAAGUGUGAUCCCAAAAAAACCUUAAGAUGUAAUCCCUCAAUAUUCAGAAGUCAUCAUGAGAGCAUAAAAAACCCAAGCGUGCUGACAUUUUCUGUUUCUUAUUUCUCAUAUUUUAUUCAUUUUUUUCCCCUAGUUUUGCAGUUAUUGUGCUAAUGUUCAGGAUUUUGUAAAGUCCAGCUGAUGAUCUGUCAAAGUUUGGCAUGGUGUACGUAUAGAAUAAAGGUUUUAAUGAUAUUCUGAUUACAGCUUCCUGUUAGGAAUUUUACAAAAAAAAAGUAUUUGACAUUUGAAAAUCUUUGGCCGAUUUCAGAAAUGGAAAACACACAGAUUUGUGCAGGAGUGUGAAAAUGAGUAACAGAAUCAUCAGCCUCAAUUGUGUUUUUAUGCUGGUUAUAACAAUAAUUCUUUUUAUUCUCUUUUUCUACUCAAACUUACCUUUGCCACCAGGCACAAGACUGAAAACGAUUCCUGUUUCGGAGAGGGCAGGAACACAAUGUGGGUUUUCAGAUUUCCUUUAACUGGGUUUUUUCCUAGCCCUUUUCCUUCUAAAGAUAACUUUGAAAAUCUUUGCUAAAACCAAUCAAGAAGGCUGAAAGCUUUCCUCAGAUUUUUCUCCCCUACAGCUUAUUCAGAAUUAUACAGCAGCCUCCCAGGAUUGGGCUUUGGGGUCUGCAGGCUGCUCGAAUCGAAGGCCAAAUCCUCAGAGGUUCCAAGCAGCCUCAGCUCCAGAUUUGGCUCCUUGUUAGCAGUGGCUUCCAGCAAUGUCUGGAGCUCCUACAGGGAUCAGGACUUAGUGGCUUUUUGCAGCUCCCAACAGGCAUUUGUUUGGGGCUGAUGAAUUUUUAUACUGAAGUUUCUAUUGCAGUAGGAUGCUUCCAGCAGACUGCCUGGUCUGCAAGAGCUGGGAUCCUUUAUGUAUUGCUGAAAUCCUUUACAUGCAGCCAGAUGUUGUGAAGAAUCAGGGUCUUACGCAGCUAGAUAGAGCAGCCUGAUUCUGUUCUCCAUCUCAGUGUUGCUCUUGAUUCUCUUGCUUGGGAAGGGAAAGUUUUCUGGGAACCUUUGGCCUGAAACAUUUCCCAGUUUCAAGCCCCCUCCCAGCAGUAAGCGUGGCCGACUCGCAGUGGUCGGCUGCCAGAUCCCCAGAUCCACCACCCCUCCUCCCCCAUGCUGUCCUUGUCACAAUCACCUCUCGAAAUGCUUUAUUCAUUACGUUUUCAUUGUCUUGAAUUUAUGCACUGCAGAAAGUGGGCUCCUAACAUUAUGAAUGUUGCUUUCUGUCUGCUUGGCGUGUCAUUUUGCUGCCACAGACAGAAAUUUCCCUCAGACAUUUUCUGCUGGAAACUGGAUUCCAGUUGCUGUUUUCUGUUCCAGGCCAUAGAAAUAUUCACUAUUUAAUAUUCCUGCAUAUAUUGAGUUCUAUAAAUGAUUGCUAAAGAGAAAAAAUACACUGUGACACAGAGCCACGAUAAAGCUGUGAUGCCGAAUUCUGAUCGCACAGUGGUAAGAACUGGUGGUACCUGGUGAGAUCAAUCAUUAUCCAAUGUAUGUAAGGGGGGUUGGUGAAGCAACAUGCUACUUGCUACGUAGAAGCUUCCAUAAGCUACACCUACAGAUAGCUUGUGUGGGUGUAGGCAACUGCAAUUCAAGUGUAAUUAAAACCAAAUUUCCUAAGAAAGCCUCUUUCUGAAAAACUAUAUCCUACUAAUGCAAAAUCAGAAGCGUUCUGAAUACUAAUGUAAAUAUACUAUACAUUAGCUUUACAUAAGGAUUUUGAUGAACAUAGCGCAAAGUUUUCUGAGCUGUGUCAUUAACUGUUUUACAGAUGAGAGCGCAAAGCUGAAGUGAGCCGCCCAUGCUGGUGCUGCAGGAAAGUGGUGCAGAGCUCAUUCUGGACUGCAGGCAGAAAUCUUGGCUCCCUUGUGCUUACCUUAGAAGUCUUCAAACAGUAAAAUGAAAGAGAAGGGGACACGAGAGGAAAUGAAACCAUAUAAAGAUAACUAGUCAGACAUCUCUUCCUUCUCAAAAUCACAAAAUAAAAGUUUCAUUCAAUCUCAACAAACCCAGAUGUCACCAAUUAAGAGCAGAAGUAGAAACAGGCAUUUCAUGCCUUUUGUUGUUGUUUUUUUUUAAUAUAGUUUUUCUAUUGAAGCCAUACACGUACAUGUUGCAUAGAUCAGAUUAAUAUUGCACAUUUCCAACUUUCAGUCUUUCUUUUGUGAAAACAACCUGUUCUGUGUUUGCUAAACAAAUGCUUAAAUGCAAAUAAAAAUCAGAAUAUCAAACAACAACUCUCCAAGGCUAAGAAACUGAACAAACCAGCAAAUCCUAUCCUAUAUCACCAUUUCAAUUAAUAGUGCCGUACACAAAGAAAUAAGCAAGCUGAGAAGAAUUUCCACUCUUUUCCAAUGACUCUUGACUCUCUAGUGUUUUACUCUUUUCAAAAUACCAGGAGAGAAUUAGGAAAGUUUUUGUGUAAAAUGUUAAUUUACCUCCUUGCAAAUCUGAGUGCUGUGCUGCAUAACUUAGAAAAGUGAAAUAUGUGGGGAUUUUCAGCUGUCCACCUUUGUCUGAGCAGAGCCAGGUUUGAAUGCUAAAAGCAACUUAAAAUGUCACAGUGUUGAAUACAGCAGUGCAUAAUUUGUAGGGUUGGGUUGUGGAGUGGAAACGGGAUGCUUGAUGUAGAUAUGUAGGCUGCAGUAGGCACAUGGGAAGGGAAGAUACUCUGUGGUAUCACAGAACCCCUGGUACGUGGAGUCACCUGGGGCAGCCUGAGCUGAGCCAGCAGGGCUCUGAGGGACAGAUGGCAAUGUGCAGCAUUCCAAAGGAAAAUGAAUGUGGUUCAUGUAUGUUUUUUCUGUUAAAUUUGUCCCACCUCAUAGCAGAACCAUGAAGCUUUGAGCUGGAGGGAGUCGGUCCUUGAACUGUUGGUUCAAGCUGUUGGAUCUAGUUUGUUGUGAAACUUAGGUUUCAAAACUCUGGUUAUCUUACAGCAGUGUAGAUCCUAUUGAGCUCCAUAAGAGUAAAUCAUGUAAAUCUGGUCUUGGAGUGAGGAGAAGAGUUUCUGGCAUCCAAACAUAAUGAAACAGACACACCACAUGUGUGUGCUGGCAUUACACUUCCAUUCACAGAUUCUACCCUUGGUUUUAUGGAAAUGUUCAUUCAGGUUCAUCCCUCCUUAAAAAUAAAUAAAACCCAGGACCGAUUAUAGUUUUGCAUCAAAGUCAUGUGAAACUCAUGAGUUUGUCACGAGCCCAGAGGAAACGUGGGAGUUUCUUGUUGAGAUUUUCAGUUCACUUGAACUUGAAACUCAGACUGGAACUUGGGGGAGGAGUGAGUGAACACACACAAAUCCAGAAGAAAGAAUAUAUUCAAACAAAACCUCAUGAAAUGCAGCUCCCAGUGGCUUUGCAAGGAAUCCUCACUCAAAAAGUGAAAACAAGUCCAAGCACAUUCCUCUCUCCUGAAAGCCUUACUUAAUGCUACUGAAAACCUCUCUUUCCAGUAUGGGCAAUGAAUGCCAUUUGUUAGAAAAGGAAAAUGUAGGAUAUUUUGCUCAACAAAUGCCCCUCUAACAGCCUUGAAAACAGAGGGAAAAUUGUGUUUUAAUUAAUUUAUAAACAAAAGAUUAUUUCCUGCACUGCCAGCAAAAAUCCUGUUUGCUGACAAGGUUCUGGCUUCAAACUUUAUCAGCAACUGGCAGGAUGAGUCCUUUUAUGUAAAUGAACUCAUUAUUAUUAAUUUCUGCUGGUGCUGAACGAUUUAUGAACUGCUUUUCGAAUAUGGAAAAGUGGCCGAUGAAUCAGAGGGGAAAAAAUGUUCAAAAAGUCCUGGGUCGAUAAAUAACAGUACUCAUUCAUGAAUCCCUCCCGUGGUGUCUUUUAUCUUCAGUAAGGAGGAGAUCAAAAUGAUAAAAUAGUAAUGUGACAACAAAAAAGGACUGAGUGGGCAGAGACUUGUAACAUUGUCCUCUCCAGGCCCUAAUGGGUAGGGGUUGGGGGCAGUACCAUCCGUCCCGAUAGGCAGCUACGUGUAAUGACUCUCCUAUGGUAGAAAUGUACUCUGAGCACAGUAGAGUCUUUUGGACACUGUUGUGUAUGCAAUUGAAUUUACAUUGUGCCUUUUUUCAUGUUUUUUUUCAUCUGUAUUUGAAGGAAUCAGGCUGAAAUAUCAAAUAUUGUAAGUUCCAGGAGGGGACUGUUGUCACAGAGGUGUUGUUUUCUCCCUUAGGAAAUUCUCUGAUGUGCAACUGGUCCCAAAGAACAGACUCAAAUUUAUCGCCAAUGUAAUUUCAUUAAAAUUACAGAAUUUGUGCCCACUAUUAUUAUUCCAUGACUCAAUAUUAGGGCAAGUCUAUAAAAGUGAAGUAGUGAGAGCAGUAAAAAUCUAUUCUCCAAUUAGUUUUCCUUUCUACAGUUUUGAUGUAAGAAGAAACUACAACUGCUCGUUGUGACUAUUUGCUCUUAAAUAGCAUUGUUCAUCCAAAAGACCUUCCAAGUCUGAGUUAAAGCUCACAACAUCCUGUGAGGUAUGAAGAAUUGUAAUAGCACUGGAGGAAAAUGAAGCCAGGAUAAAUUUACAUGCAAAGGUCCUGAAAAGAAUUUGGCAGACUCAGUAGUCAGCGUUGAAGAAUUGAUGACUUUUCCUCCUGCCACCAAUAGCAGAAGUAUCUUCCAGCAGAUGAAAAUAAAAUGAUGGAAUAGUAGCUGCUUCUUAAACAUCUGCAUAGUUCAUAUUAAUGUGUUGUCAAUUUUCUUUAUUUUGUAUUGCCACAGGAUGAAAUCUUAUGCUUCUGUGCCUAGCAAUGAAGUUUUAAUCACCUCAAUAUACAUCGUUCCACAAUAUAUAUUUUUCUGUCUACCAAAGACAUAAUGGCUCCUCCUUUUAUGGGAAACCAGGAUUUAAUCCAGCAAAUAAAUGACAGAAUCAGAGACCAUCCAGUGUCCUGCUCCAUGGUAAUGUCUCUAUUGUAUUUAUUCACACUGCUCAUAAAAAAGCGCAUCACAAAAGUGCCUGGAAAAUAAAACUCCGAUGAGAAGGGACCCAUCAAGUUUAAAUGGAGGUUUAUACUGCAGCAUUAUGAGACAGAGGCUUGCACAUUUGCAGGUCCCAUGGCAGAAAGUGAAACUCUGAACAAUUAAAGCAGCACAGACAUCCUGCCCUAAAGGACUUUCCUUGAGGAAUGACAGCUGUGUGCUUCCUUCCUGUAACUUGGAAGAGCUGCAAAGAAAAGGAAAGCCAAAACAAACAAACAAAAAGCCCAACCAUGUGAAAUGUGAAGAGUAAAAUCUGCCAGAUCUGAGGAGCCAUUGUACAGAUGGAGGUGAGCCAUAAAUCUGCGAAAGUUCCCUGUUCAUGCAAAGACCUGGUUGGAAUUGCUGCACCCCUCCCACACCUUCCUUCCCCAGGUGAAAUUUGUCCUGCAAUGUGAGACAGACCAGCAAAAAAGCGCACACACUUUUCCUGGAGUUAUGAUGCUUUAUAGACUUUCUGAUGUAAAUAUGUUUUUUUCCUCUUCUCCCACAAAGUGUGGGGCUUCCUAACUUGUUGCUGUGUGAGGCAGGUCCCCAACGUGCUCAGUAAGUCCCGUCUGUAUCUGCUUACUUUCUACACAAAUAAUUAUGAUUAUUUUAGCUGAGGAUUAAUCCCAAAUAAACAUUUACAGCUCAUGUUGCUUUCUACUUUUGCCAGUGUUUAUGUCAUUAGGUGCUGGUGUGUAAAUAAGCCAUGCAGGUAGGGCUGAACAUUAAAUAUUUGGGUCUGAGUUGUACAAAUUAAAACACAGGAAGAAUAAGAAUCUAUUUGCUUUAGCUCGCAUGACAGCUAUCAACUUUCGAGCACUCAGAAGAAAUCUCCUGAAGCAUUUUAUGUUUGCCAUCGUCAGAACCAAAGUGCUGAAUUAGAAGCACAGGUGACCCUAGUCUUACUGUUCCACUAGAAUAAGCAAAUAUAUAUGUGGUAUAUAUGGUAUGAUAUGUAAUGAAGCAGAAGUAAAUUGUACAUUCCUUCCUAGCCUUUUUCAAAAAGACAUAGUAUGUUUAUUUAGAGAAAAUCUUUUUUUCCUCAAGAGACACUGGAAAUGUAUAACUUUACGUCAAAGUCUUCUUUUAUUGUCUUUCUCUUCCCAUAUGUUUUGGGUCCUCAAUUCUUUCAGUGUUAUU